UCCCCGAAAUAGCUUUAGGGCUAGCCUCAAGGUGAGAGAUACGGAGGUAGAGCACUGAAUGUCCUAGGGGGUAUUGCACCUACCGAAGACUAUCAAACUCCGAAUGCCGUCAUCUUAUACUUGGGAGGCAGACUGUGGGUGAUAAGAUUCAUAGUCGAAAGGGCAACAGCCCAGAUCGUCAGCUAAGGUCCCUAAAUGUAAGUUAAGUGGUAAAGGAUGUGGGAUUGCACAGACAACCAGGAUGUUGGCUUAGAAGCAGCCACUCAUUCAAAGAGUGCGUAAUAGCUCACUGGUCGAGUGAUCC
rnacentral:rRNA from 1 species